rnacentral:rRNA from 1 species
GAUGAACGCUAGCUAUAGGCUUAACACAUGCAAGUCGAGGGACCGGCGCACGGGUGAGUAACGCGUAUCCAACCUACCCAUAACUAAGGGAUAACCCAGCGAAAGUUGGACUAAUACCUUAUGGUUAUGGAUGGGGAUGCGUCUGAUUAGCUUGUUGGCGGGGGAACGGCCAACCAAGGCAACGAUCCGUAGGGGUUCUGAGAGCAAGGUCCCCCGGAUUGGAACUGAGGCACAGUCCAAACUCGGAGGGGAGGCAGGAGUGAGGAAUAUUGGUGAAUGGACGCAAGUCUGACCCAGCCAAGUAGCGUGCAGGAUGACUGCCUAUGGGUUGUAAACUGCUUUGAUAUGGGGAUAGGUACCAUAUGAAUAAGGACCGGCUAAUUCCGUGCCAGCAGCCGCGGUAAUUC